AAUCAUCAAAAGACACGAGAAAUGAAUCCUCACUUGUCUACAUCCGCAAUCCAUACUUCAUUUUGUUUUAAAGUAAUAGUAGCAGUUAAUGUAACACAAAUACUCACUGCUAAAAGGUUCACUGCUCGAAACACUAUAAAUUGUCUGUGUAGUCUAGGCUAGCUCCAGCCUAACUAAUCUAAAGUUAAUUGAGUCAAGUAUAAUAUACAGGCAUUAGGCAGAAAGCUUUCUGAUUAGUUAAUUGUGAACCGACCUUGCAUUAACAUGUGUACCUCAGCUUUAUAUCAGACAUUUAUUCGAUUAGUUAAUGUCACUCUUGGAUGUUAUUAAGUCUAAAGUUAAAAGAGGGAACCAGCAAAAGCUUUCCAAUCACAUGUGAUAGUAAUCACACCACCCAAUACUAAAGCUGGAUCAAGUUAUUCAUAAUACUCCAUAGUUUAAUGUAUCUAAUAACAAGUGCGGGUGCAAAAAUAUCAUUGACUAUACAAUGGCAUUGACAAAUAAUAUAGUUUAAUAGCACUGAUUAACAUAGAUCAUUUUUUUGUGUGGCUGUCAUGAUUUAUCAAAGUAUUAUAGGAUCAUGGAUUAACCGGUGAACUUAUGUUCAUCACUGUUUCAAAACGUAAAAGCAAUUCUUGAAUUCCGUAUUUUUCAACGAAUUUGAUCAUCUUUUAUUUGCGUAGUCCGAUCUUUUUUUUUCACUGAAUAAUACUUUCAUUCAUUCAAGUUUCUGUCCAAAAUACAGUCAGGACACUAAAUGGAAGCCAUAACAAGACAAGUUUGGGUAGUCCGGUAUAUAGUAUCAAGUUUGGGUUUAAUUAGUAUUUAAUCAUUUACAGAUUACGGAGUAGUAUAUUCAUAGAUGUACAAAGUAUUUACUAAAAAUGGGUUAAACAUUACUAUUAAAAUACAAUAAGUAAUAAGUAAAGAAAAUUGGUUGGGUGGGAGAUGUAGCUAUCUAGUAUCUAAAAAUGAGACGAGACAGAACGGCCUAAGUGUGGCUCAAUAGCCGCUCCUAAUUUCUGUUCCCUCAUUUAUUCCUCCAUUACAACAUUUAUUUUGUUCUCUUAAAUUAACACCAUAAACGUGGACUUAGAGCAUCUCCAAUGUAAAACACCAUUUUUUCUUCCAAAAUGGAGUAAAAGUGAAAAUGGAGUAAAAUUGCUCCAAUCCUACUCUAUUUCCCACUCUAUAAUGGAGUGAUGAACAAAAAAAAAAUAGAUUACUCCAUUUAUGGAGUAAACUUCAUUAUGGAGUGAGAUAUGGGGUUGGAUUAGAACAUUCUUUAUUCCAUAAUCACUUUUACUCCAUUUUAAAGAAAAAAAUGGAAUAGGGAUGGAGAUGCCCUUAGAUUGUUAAAAAAAUCAACAAGUUGCUCAAAAAAACCAACAAAUGAGGCAUUAAACACUAGAGAUUAGGUUGGAAGAUUUUGAUUUACAAUCUAUCUAACUAGAUUUUAUCGAUUUAUAUAGCAGCUAAGAAAAUAGAUGUAUUUUAACUUGGUUCACUAUUUUACAUUACUUUUAAGUAACAAAGAGAAAAAAAAUUAUAUACCAACACUUCAUAAAUAUUGAAGCGUUGAGUAUAUAAUUGUAAUAUACAUAUUUAGAAUUAAUGAUAGAGACUGGACUAUACCCUCGUUGUUGUAUUAAAUCGGAUACAAUCUGAUAUUGUUGACCUGAACAAAGUAUACUUUUGUAACGAAGUACACAUUUUUUGAAUGAAUGUUAAACUUAUUCAGAUAAAAAAAAUUUUACAAUAAAGUACAAUUUAAUUACCCUUGGUACUAAUCCCUUUAAUAACAAAGAUGUUAUGAAGUUUUAAAACAACUUCUUCUAGUCAAAUACAUAUGCACGUCGCUUAUUAAAUGUUUUUUGAAUUGUUUGUUAGACAAUAAUAAUAUCUAAUGAUAACUUUAAAUAUUAAUUGCAUAAAAAUGGCGUGAAUGUAUUUGACAUAACUAUAAGAACCUUUGUCAGGAGAAAUUGUACAUUCAUUUGCCAUAAAUUGUUAACUAUGUCAUGUUUCGAAGAACAAUUUGCGACCGUACGUGUAGUAUCUACCGAAGUAUAUAUAUGUGAUAGUGAUACUAAUUAUUAGAUAAAUACGUGAAGAUCUUUAAACACAUAGUAUAAUUCAACGUUUUUAUUGUAAAAAAAAACGUUUUUAUUUUAGUCAAAAUAUCAAUAAAUAUACCCGAAUAUAUUAUGUAUGUCGAAAUAAUACAAGUAAUUAACUGUCUGUUCUGUUUUACGUUGUUUUUAGGUUGAAUGUAUAAAAAUAUAAGUAGUAAUUAAUUGUGUUACAUAUUUUUAGGCGUGACAGAGACCAUAGGGAUGUAUAUGGUGAGAGACGGGAAAAGUGGAUUUUAUAUCAUUAAUUCCUCUGUUUCGCCCCCAUUGAAAAUGACAUCACCAUAGCUUUAGCUCUACUAAUAUUUGUUCUCUCACUUUCUCUUCAUGCAUGGCUUUUGAGAUUUGAGAAACCUAAUUCCUAAUAUCUCCUCAUAAAUACGUAUGUUAUAGUUUCAUGUGCUUUGGCAUGUUAUUAACUUCUUUUGGUAUGUGUUUAUGUAUUCUCCGGCAAAUUUAAGUCUUUUCCGGUCGCCGGAAAAUCUUUACUCUCCAUCUGGUUUCAUGGAUUAUUGGAUCGCCGGUUUCUUGGUUUUGACGGCCGGAGUUCUUCUCCUUUCAUGGCUCUGGUUCCGUUUAACAAACUCAAAAACAAGAAAUGAAGACAAACAAGAAGAGAGUGAGAAGAAGAAGGGAAUGAUUCCGAAGGGAAGUUUAGGAUGGCCGGUGAUCGGAGAAACCCUAACCUUUAUUGCUUGUGGAUAUUCUUCGCGGCCUGUUUCCUUCAUGGACAAACGAAAGUCUUUGUAUGGGAAGGUGUUCAAGACGAACAUAAUAGGGACACCAAUCAUAAUAUCAACCGAUGCAGAAGUUAACAAAGUGGUGCUCCAAAACCAUGGGAACACAUUUGUCCCUGCAUACCCCAAAUCAAUCACUGAACUACUUGGAGAAAACUCUAUUCUCAGCAUCAAUGGAGCUCAUCAAAAGAGGCUACACACUCUCAUUAGCGCGUUCCUUAGAUCCCCUCACCUCAAGGAGAGGAUCACUCGAGACAUUGAGGCCUCGGUUGCUCUCACUUUAGCUUCUUGGUCUCAACUUCCCUUGGUUCAUGUCCAAGAUGAGAUCAAAAAGAUGACGUUUGAGAUACUAGUAAAACUGCUGAUGAGCAUAUCUCCUGGUGAAGAUUUGGAUAUUCUUAAACUCGAGUUCCAAGAGUUCAUCAAGGGUUUGAUUUGUAUCCCCAUCAAAUUCCCCGGCACUAGACUUUAUAAAUCCUUAAAGGCGAAAGAGAGAUUGAUUAAGAUAGUUAAGAAAGUUGUGGAGGAGAGACAAGAGGCUACGACCGAGAGUACAAAUUGUCCAGCGAAUGACGCGGUGGAUGUGCUUUUAAGAGACGUUAAUGACGGUGGUUGUUCGGAUAAGCAAUCUCACCCGUUAGAUUUCGUUAGCGGAAAGAUCGUAGAGAUGAUGAUACCCGGAGAAGAAACGAUGCCGACGGCAAUGGCGUUGGCUGUCAAAUUUCUAAGUGACAAUCCCGUCGCUCUAGCUAAACUCGUGGAGGAGAAUAUGGAGAUGAAGAGGCGUAAAUUGGAGUCGGGAAAAGAAUACGGUUGGUCAGAUUAUAUGUCUCUCUCUUUUACUCAAAACGUGAUAAAUGAAACGUUGAGAAUGGCUAAUAUCAUUAACGGUGUGUGGAGGAAGGCUCUUAAAGAUGUGGAAAUAAAAGGUUACUUGAUACCAAAAGGAUGGUGUGUAUUGGCAUCAUUUAUAUCAGUCCACAUGGAUGAAGAUAUUUAUGAGAAUCCCUAUCAAUUCGAUCCGUGGAGAUGGGAUAGGAUUAAUGGAACGGCAAACAGUAAUAUUUGCUUCACACCCUUUGGUGGUGGGCAAAGGCUAUGUCCCGGUUUAGAACUAUCUAAACUCGAAAUUUCCAUCUUUCUUCACCAACUCGUAACCCGGUUCAGUUGGACAGCCGAAAAAGACGAGAUCGUGUCAUUUCCAACGGUCAAGAUGAAACGGAGGCUUCCGAUCCGAGUGACUCCGGUCGAGAGAACCUCUCCUAUCUCAGUUGAAGAUCAUUAGCUAAUAUAUCCUUGAAAAGAACCAAGUGUUUAGGCAAAAAGAAGGAGAGAAGCAAACAAAUAUAUUUUUAAAAUAUAGCAGAGAAGAGAAGCAAACAAGAUUGGAGAGUAAGGGCAGAAAGAGCCAUACGUACAGCUAAUGAUGGCUCAAAGAUGAGAGACUCUAAUUAUUUAUUAUUUUUUUGUCAUGUCAAAUUAUAAGCGUUGGUUAGGUUGUCCCUUUCUCUUUUAUUAUCGUAACAAAGCCAAACGCAACUUGAGAUAUGAUUCCAUAUACACGUAUGGUUUUUGUGUAAAUUGAUAUGAUCCUAGGCAUGUUUCAGUUAAAAUUUCUAUCUAGUUUUUUACUUUUGAUUUU